AACGACUCUCGGCAACGGAUAUCUCGGCUCUCGCAUCGAUGAAGAACGUAGCGAAAUGCGAUACCUGGUGUGAAUUGCAGAAUCCCGCGAACCAUCGAGUCUUUGAACGCAAGUUGCGCCCGAGGCCAUCCGGUCAAGGGCACGCCUGCCUGGGCGUCACGCCAU
rnacentral:rRNA from 1 species